UACGUAGGGUGCGAGCGUUAAUCGGAAUUACUGGGCGUAAAGCGUGCGCAGGCGGCUUUGCAAGACAGAUGUGAAAUCCCCGGGCUUAACCUGGGAACUGCAUUUGUGACUGCAUGGCUAGAGUAUGGCAGAGGGGGGUAGAAUUCCACGUGUAGCAGUGAAAUGUGUAGAGAUGUGGAGGAAUACCGAUGGCGAAGGCAGCCCCCUGGGCCAAUACUGACGCUCAUGCACGAAAGCGUGGGGAGCAAACAGG
rnacentral:rRNA from 1 species